GAGUUUGAUCCUGGCUCAGAGUGAACGCUGGCGGCAGGCCUAACACAUGCAAGUCGAGCGGCAGCGCGGGUAGCAAUACCUGGCGGCGAGCGGCGGACGGGUGAGGAAUACAUCGGAAUCUGCCUUGUUGUGGGGGAUAACGUAGGGAAACUUACGCUAAUACCGCAUAAGACCGUAAGGUGAAAGCGGGGGAUCGAAAGACCUCGCGCGACAAGAUGAGCCGAUGUCGGAUUAGCUAGUUGGUGAGGUAAUGGCUCACCAAGGCGACGAUCCGUAGCUGGUCUGAGAGGAUGAUCAGCCACACUGGAACUGAGACACGGUCCAGACUCCUACAGGAGGCAGCAGUGGGGAAUAUUGGACAAUGGGCGCAAGCCUGAUCCAGCCAUGCCGCGUGGUGAAGAAGGCCUCGGUGUAAG
rnacentral:rRNA from 1 species